AUACAGUAUGUCAAAAUGAUAAAAUAACGGUAAAUUAACACAGGUGAGGUUGUGCUGAAAAAAAUGAUACCAGGCAAGGCAAGGUAAAAAAAAAUUUAAGAGGAAAUAUAAAGGUAAAAUCUAAAGUAGUCAAAAACGGCCAAUAGUGACCGCCAGACUCCAUAGACAAGUCCCUUUGGCGCCACUCAGUGGGCAGAACUACUUUGUCUGCUGUAAUGUAUAUUUGGGUCAUCUUUGGCGCCCCCUAGAACGUAAACCGUGAGGUGCAGCGUCAUGAUUUUUACAACUUUUAACGGCCAUGGGGUGUAGAUUGGCCUGAGCAAAUUUGGUGCCGGUGGAACGAAAGCCUUCGGAGGAGUUAGCCACAUUCCAAUGUGUGCGGAUCGGCAAAAAAUGCGAAAUAGAUCUUUAACCGUACAUUAUACAGAUACGCGCGCAUUGACUUUUUCGUAGAUCUUAUUGAGAUACACGUGUGUGUCAAAUUUUGUGUCAAUAUGACAAAGCGUUCAGGCGUGACACUCAACAAUGUGUAUUUUCAUGUUAGGGGACAAGAAAAAAUGGACUUUUUUCUCCUGCCAUGGGGGGGCGCUCUUUUGGGGCGUAAAAAUUCCUUCACAAAUGUGUUGAUGGCUGGACAUUGCAUCAUCCUAGAAAACUUGGAGGCCAGUGGGGACAACAAUAAAAAGUUAUAAGACUUUUAAAUAUGUGGAUUUUACGGUUAUCUUUGGCGCCCCCUAGAACCUAAACCGUGGGGUGCAGCGUCAUGAUUUGAAUAACUUUUAAUGGCCAUGGGGUGUAGAUUGGCCUGAGCAAAUGUGGUGCCGGUGGAACGAAAGCCUUCGGAGGAGUUAGCGAAAUUCCAAUGUGUGCGGAUCGGCAAAAAAUGCGAAAUAACCCUUUAACUGUACAUUUUACAGAUGCGUGGCCAUUGACUUUUUCGAAGAUCUUAUUGAAAUACACAUGUAUGUCAAAUUUUGUGUCAUUUUGACAAAGCGUACAGGCGUGACACUCUACAAUGUGUAUUUUCACCUUAGGGGACAAGAAAAAAUGGACUUUUUUCUCCUGCCAUGGGGGGGCGCUCUUUUGGGGAGUAAAAAUUCCUUCACAAAUGUGUUGAUGGCUGGACAUUGCAUCAUCCUAGAAAAAUUGGAGGCUAGUGAGGGCAAAAAUAAAAAGUUAUAAGACUUUUAAAUAUGUGGAUUUUAGGGUUAUCUUUGGCGCCCCCUAGAACCUAAACCGUGGGGUGCAGCGUCAUGAUUUGAAUAACUUUUAAUGGCCAUGGGGUGUAGAUUGGCCUGAGCAAAUGUGGUGCCGGUGGAACGAAAGCCUUCGGAGGAGUUAGCGAAAUUCCAAUGUGUGCGGAUCGGCAAAAAAUGCGGAAUAACCCUUUAACCGUACAUUUGACAGAUACGCCCGCACUGACUUUUUUGUAGAUCUUAUUGAGAUACAUGUGUGUGUCAAUUUUUGUGUCAUUUUGACAAAGCGUACAGGCGUGACAGUCAAUAGUGUGAAUUUUAACCUUAGGGGGCGCUAUGGAGCCAUUUUGCAUUUUCUUGUUUGGGCGACUUCGGAAUAUCAAAUUUUUCACCAGGCCCGGUCGUCCUGCCAAAUUUCAUGAGUUUUCGCCAGUGGGAAGUGGGCCAUUUUCCCGUUCAAAGGGGAGGAAAAAUAAGAAGAAAGAAAGAAAGAAAGAAAGAAAGAAAGAACUAGGGCCCCGGUGGGGCACUGUCGGGCCCGAGCCGCGUCGCGCCGCCCCCAGCGCGACCGCCUCCCCCUCCCGAUCACGUCACACUCAAGGUCCAAAGAUGGUGUGCGCACUUGUCUGUGGUCAUUUCCCAUUAUAAUGAAUGGGAGGCGCAGUUUCUACCAAAACACUCGCUACAGACAAACUAAAGUCUGAUCCAUGAGUGAGGGCACAAACACAGCUAGGAUAUAUCCAAACGGCAAGUUGCUCCUCGUUACGGUGUUGCCGGGAGAGCGAUGCGAUUGAGCCAUUGAGUGAUGGGAAGGAAAAACUUGACUGUUUCUCCUGCCAUGGGGGAUGGGGGAUGGGGGAUGGGGGAUGGGGGGGGGGGGGGGGAAUGUGGAUUCUUUUAAGAAUGUGGAUAUUUGGGUCAUCUUUGGCGCCCCCUAGAACGUAAACCGUGGGGUGCAGCGUCAUGAUUUUUACAACUUUGAAUGGCCAUGGGGUGUAGAUUGGCCUGAGCAAAUUUGGUGUCAGUGGGACGAAAGCCUUAGGAGGAGUUAGCCACAUUCCAAUGUGUGCGAAUCGGCAAAAAAUGCAAAAUAGCCCUUUAACCGUACAUUUUACAGAUACGCGCGCAUUGACUUUUUCGUAGAUCUUAUUGAGAUACAUGUGAUUCUCAAAUUUUGUGUCAAUAUGAAAAAGCGUACAGGUAUGACAGUCAACAAUGUGUAUUUUCACCUUAUGGGACAAGAAAAAAUUGACUUUUUUCUCCUGCCAUGGGGGGGCGCUCUUUUGGGGAGUAAAAAUUCCUUCACAAAUGUGUUGAUGGCUGGACAUUGCAUCAUCCUAGAAAACUUGGAGGCCAGUGAGGACAAAAAUAAAAAGUUAUAAGACUUUGAAAUAUGUGGAUUUUAGGGUUAUCUUUGGCGCCCCCUAGAACGUAAACCGUCGGGUGCAGCGUCAUGAUUUGAAUAACUUUGAAUGGCCAUGGGGUGUAGAUUGGCCUGAGCAAAUGUGGUGCCAGUGGAACGAAAGCCUUAGGAGGAGUUAGCCACAUUCCAAUGUGUGCGGAUCGGCAAAAAAUGCGGAAUAGCCCUUUAACCGUACAUUUGACAGAUACAUGCCCUUUGACUUUUUCAUAGAUCUUAUUGAGAUACACGUGAUUGUCAAAUUUUGUGUCAAUAUGACAAAGCAUACAGGCGUGACACUCGACAAUGUGUAUUUUCACCUUAGGAGACAAGAAAAAAUGGACCUUUUUCUCCUGCCAUUGGGGGGCCCUCUUUUGGGGAGUAAAAAUUCCUUCACAAAUGUGUUGAUGGCUGGACAUUGCAUCAUCCUAGAAAACUUGGAGGCCAGUGAGGACAAAAGUAAAAAGUUAUAAGACUUUUAAGAAUGUGGAUUUUUGGGUUAUCUUUGGCGCCCCCUAGAACGUAAACCGUGGGGUGCAGCGUUAUGAUUUGUACAACUUUUAAUGGCCAUGGGGGGUAGAUUGGCCUGCGCAAAUGUGGUGCCGGUCGAACGAAAGCCUUCGGAGGAGUUAACGAAAUUCCAAUGUGUGCAGAUCUGCAAAAAAUGCAAAAUAACCCAUUAACCGUACAUUUGACAGAUACGCCCACACUGACUUUUUUGUAGACCUUAUUGAGAUACAUGUGUGUGUCAAUUUUUGUGUCAAUAUGACAAAGCGUACAGCCGUCAUGUGAAUUUUCACCUUAGGGGGCGCUAUGGAGCCAUUUUGCAUUUUAUUGUUUGGGCGACUUCAGAAUAUCGAAUUUUUCACCAGGCCCGGUCGUCCUGCCAAAUUUCCUGAGUUUUCGCCAGUGGGAAGUGGGCCAUUUUCCAGUUUAAAGCGGAGGAAAAAUAACUAGGACCCCGUUGGGGCACUGGCGGGCCCGAGCUGUGUCGCGUCCCCCCCCCAACGCGCUGCCUCCCCAUCCCAUUUGUUUCCUCUGGCCAUCGCCCUCUCUGGUAACGCCCAUCACUGCAAAGACCCUUUUCCUUCAUCGGCGUUUGCUGUUCUUCCUGCCAGUGCGUGUUGCUUUCACUUACACUUGCCACAGCCAGCCUCGUGAGUGCCUAGCCUAUUGGAUAUCACUGUCACCUACACAGGACAGUCAUUACCUUUCUAUUUAGGGCCCGAGCGUAGCUGCUAAGCAGCUGCGAGAGCCCUAUUAUUCCUGAUGGAUUCUUCUUUCUUCUUCUUCUUCUUAUUAUUUUUCUGCCCCUUUGAACUGGAAAAUGGCCCACUUCCCACUGGUGAAAAGUCAUGAAAUUUGGCAGGACGACCGGGCCUGGUGAAAAAUUCGAUAUUCUGAAGUCGCCCAAAAAAUCAAAUGCAAAAUGGCUCCAUAGCGCCCCCUAAGGUGAAAAAUUCACAUGAUUGAGUGUCACGCCUGUACGCUUUGUCAAAAUGACACAAAAUUUGACACACACGUGUAUCUCAAUAAGAUCUACAAAAAAGUCAGUGCGGGCGUAUCUGUCAAAUGUACGGUUAAAGGGCUAUUUCGCAUUUUUUGCCGAUCCGCACACAUUGGAAUUUCGCUAACUCCUCCGAAGGCUUUCGUUCCACCGGCACCACAUUUGCUCAGGCCAAUCUACACCCCAUGGCCAUUAAAAGUUGUACAAAUCAUGACGCUGCAUCCCACGGUUUACGUUCUAGGGGGCGCCAAAGAUAACCCAGAAAUCCACAUUCUUAAAAGUCGUAUAACUUUUUAUUUUUGUCCUCACUGGCCUCCAAGUUUUCUAGGAUGAUGCAAUGUCCAGCCAUCAACACAUUUGUGAAGGAAUUUUUACUCCCCAAAAGAGCGCCCCCCCAUGGCAGGAGAAAAAAGUCCAUUUUUUCUUGUCUCCUAAGGCGAAAAUUCACACUAUUGACUGUCACGCCUUUACGCUUUGUCAUAUUGACACAAAAAUUGACACACACAUGUAUCUCAAUAAGAUCUACAAAAAAGUCAGUGCGGGCGUAUCUGUCAAAUGUACGGUGAAAGGGUUAUUUCGCAUUUUUUGCCGAUCCGCACACAUUGGAAUUUCGCUAACUCCUCCGAAGGCUUUCGUUCCAAAGGCACCACAUUUGCUCAGGCCAAUCUACACCCCAUGGCCAUUAAAAGUUGUACAAAUCAUGACGCUGCACCCCACGGUUUACGUUCUAGGGGGCGCCAAAGAUAACCCAAAAAUCCACAGUCUUAAAAGUCUUAUAACUUUUUAUUUUUGUCCUCACUGGCCUCCAAGUUCUCUAGGAUGAUGCAAUGUCCAGCCAUCAACACAUUUGUGUAGGAAUUUUUACUCGCCAAAAGAGCGCCCCCCCCAUGGCAGGAGAAAAAAGUCCAUUUUUUCUUGUCUCCUAAGGCGAAAAUACACAUUGUUGACUGUCACGCCUUUACGCUUUGUCAAAAUGACACAAAAUUUGACACACACAUGUAUCUCAAUAAGAUCUACAAAAAAGUCAGUGCGGGCGUAUCUGUCAAAUGUACGGUUAAAGGGUUAUUUCGCAUUUUUUGCCGAUCCGCACACAUUGGAAUUUCGCUAACUCCUCCUAAAUCUUUUGUCCCAUCGGCUUCAAAUUUGCUCAGGUCAAUCUACACCCCAUGGCCAUUCAAAGUUGUACAAAUCAUGACGCUGCACCCCACAGUUUACGUUCUAGGGGGCGCCAAAGAGGACCCAAAUAUCCACAUUUUUAAAAGUCUUAUAACUUUUUAUUUUUGUCCUCACUGGCCUCCAAGUUUUCUAGGAUGAUGCAAUGUCCAGCCAUCAACACAUUUGUGAAGGAAUUUUUUCUCCCCAAAAGAGCGCCCCCCCAUGGCAGGAGAAAAAGUCAAGUUUUUCCUGCCCAUCGCUCAAUGGCUCAAACGCAUCGCUCUCUCUGCAAAACCGAAAGGAGGAGCAACUUGCCAUUUAGAUAUAUACUAGCUGUGUUUGUGCCCUCACUCAUGGUCCAGACUUUUUUCAAAUAGGACAUGUAGUUUGUCUGCAGCGAGCGUUUUGGUAGAAACUGCGCCUCCCAUUCAUUAUAAUGGGAAAUGACCACAGACAAGUGCGCACACCAUCUUUGGACCUUGAGUGUGACGCGAUCGGGAGGGGGAGGCGGUCGCGCUGGGGGCGGCGCGACGCGGCUCGGGCCCGACAGUGCCCCACCGGGGCCCUAGUAAUACUUUGUUUUUUAAUUUCACAUUAAUUUCCAUAUUGUAUAAACAACUGGAAAAAACUUGAGCCCCUGCCCCUGUAUAAUCAUGUGCACGUCUCUGUUCUAGCUCUAAGGUGAAUCUUCACUGCUCAUGUUCUCCUCAGAAGCAGUCACCUCACUCCCCUCAGGUUACUGUACACAUGCACCAACUGCCUGCUUCAGGUUUGGAUGGAGCUUCAUGGUUGUCUUUUGGAGAAAUGACCAGUCAAGUUGUGUUUGAAAUUUGAUUUUUUUCAGGGGCAAAAGGAGCCUCUGCAUUCUUGUCAAAUAUGUAAAUAGCAUGUUUUUGCAGGUGCUAAAAACCAGACUCUGAGUGUGUGUGUGUGCGUGUGUGUGUGUGUCUGUGUGUGUGUGUGUGUGUGUGUGUGUGUGCGCGUUCAAGUCACAUGACAUAUUUAACCGGAUGUAGCUGCAAGACGGAGCCUCGUUGACUCUCCGUUUCAACUUAUCUCAAAAGUGAGGAUCUCAACCUAUAUACCAGUUUUUAAAUUGUGUUGAUAGGCCAAAUAAAACCAGAGUUAUGAUAAAUUAUGUCCGCGAUACUUGUUUUCUGCUUAUUUUGAUCACGUUCGGCGCUCGAUCGCGCUGUAUGAGACAGGAAAACAUAGCAUGCAGACAUUAGCGACAGCUCUUACAGGCGGAAAAGGCUUGCCAAAAGAAAAAAAAAACACACCACAACAUCUCUCCUAUUGGUGGAAAACUUCACCACAACAACCAAUCCAAAAUUAUAUGGUGACUGAUUGACAAGGGGCGGGCGCUUACGUUCUUCCUGCAAUAUGAGAAGGGAGGGAGGGACUCUCAGCAGGGAUGCAGUCUGGGACACGUAGUUGCAAACCUAGCGACUUUGUUGUAGAUUCAAUGACUUUUCAGACCCCCUAACGACUUUUUUUUUAGAAAGAAAGGGACUUUUAUCGACUUCUUCUGGAGUUUAGAAACUCUGACAUGAAGCAGGCUUUCCUUACUGAGGAGUUAGCAACGCUGCUAAGGGUGCAGAGACACACAUGAGCUCCGAGCUCUGCAUGGGAGACUGAAGCUGACAGAGCUGCAGCAGUUAGCAGGUUUCACCCUCAGAGACCACCAGGGGUUCAUGUUGAGGCAUUUUCAGUUUUUUUUUUUUUUUUGCCAUAGACACUGUCAGCACAAUCUGCAGUUACACUAACAAAAAAGCUGCAAAAAACAAAGAAUUAUGGAAAAAUUACACAUGGACUGACAUAGAGGAGGAUCUACACAAGUUUUUUACAUCAUGUUUUACAUCAUGCAUCAUUUACAUCAUGUUUUUUUGUAGUGGCAUAAAUAAAAAGUGACAUUUGUGAGACUAUACAGUGUUUUGUAAAUAAUUUUACAAAGAACGCCUGGGCCAUUGCCUGCAUUUUGAUGUAAAUAGAGGUAAAUUACUAUGUUCUUUGUUAAAAAUUUGCAUAUGUUUUGAAGUUUACAAUUUUUAUUUGAAGUUUAAGUUUUAAAAACAGUUCAUCACACAUAUUUGUGGUUUUCACAGUAAAAAUGUUACUUUUUUCCACUCGGAUUUUAUGUUUUGUGUGUGAAUUUGGGUCCAUUGUGUAAAUACAGUAUGUCAAAAUGAUAAAAUAACUGUAAAUUCACACAGGUGAGGUUGUGCUGAAAAAAAUGAUACCAGGCAAGGCAAGGUAAAAAAAUUUUAAGAGGAAAUAUAAAGGUAAAAUCUAAAGUAGUCAAAAAAGGCCAAUAGUGACUCACAGACUCCACAGACUAGUCCCUUUGGCGCCACUCAGUGGGCAAAACUACUUUGUCUGCUGUAAUGUAUAUUUGGGUCAUCUUUGGCGCCCCCUAAAACGUAAACCGUGGGGUGCAGCGUCAUGAUUUUUACAACUUUGAAUGGCCAUGGAGUGUAGAUUGGCCUGAGCAAAUUUGGUGUCAGUGGGACGAAAGCCUUAGGAGGAGUUAGCGAAAUUCCAAUGUGUGCGAAUCGGCAAAAAAUGCAAAAUAGCCCUUUAACCGUACAUUUUACACUUACGUGCCCAUUGACUUUUUCAUAGAUCUUAUUGAGAUACAUGUGAUUGUCAAAUUUUUUGUCAAUAUGACAAAGCGUAAAGGCGUGACAGUCAACAAUGUGUAUUUUCACCUUUCGGGAUAAGAAAAAAUGGACUUUUUUCUCCUGCCAUGGGGGGGCGCUCUUUUGGAGAGUUAAAA